rnacentral:rRNA from 1 species
GAUUCCCCUAGUAACUGCGAGUGAAGCGGGAAAAGCUCAAAUUUAAAAUCUGGCAGUCUUUGAUUGUCCGAGUUGUAAACUAGAGAAGUGUUAUCUGUGCUGGACCGUGUAAAAGUCUCCUGGAAUGGAGCAUCAUAGAGGGUGAGAAUCCCGUCUUUGACAUGGACUACCAGUGCUUUGUGAUGCGCUCUCAAAGAGUCGAGUUGUUUGGGAAUGCAGCUCAAAAUGGGUGGUAAAUUCCAUCUAAAGCUAAAUAUUGGCGAGAGACCGAUAGCGAACAAGUACCGUGAGGGAAAGAUGAAAAGAACUUUGGAAAGAGAGUUAAACAGUACGUGAAAUUGCUGAAAGGGAAACGCUUGAAGUCAGUCGCGUCGGCCAGGAAUCAACCUUGCUUUUGCUGGGCGUACUUUCUGGUUGACGGGUCAGCAUCAAUUUUGACUGCUGGAAAAAGUUCAAGGGAAUGUGGCAUCUUCGGAUGUGUUAUAGCCCUUGUUCGCAUACAGCAGUUGGGAUUGAGGUACUCAGCACGCCGCAAGGCCGGGUUUCGACCACGUUCGUGCUUAGGAUGCUGGCAUAAUGGCUUUAAUCGACCCGUCUUGAAACACGGACCAAGGAGUCUAACAUGCCUGCGAGUGUUUGGGUGGAAAACCCAAGCGCGCAAUGAAAGUAAAAGUUGAGAUCCCUGUCAUGGGGAGCAUCGACGCCCGGACCAGAGCUUUUGUGACGGAUCUGCGGUAGAGCAUGUAUGUUGGGACCCGAAAGAUGGUGAACUAUGCCUGAAUAGGGUGAAGCCAGAGGAAACUCUGGUGGAGGCUCGUAGC